GCUAUCCUUCCUUUUUCAAUAAGGUGCCUUGUGUUUUGCCAGCCUGGCCCUGAGGAGAGGGGCUGGCUCCUUUCUGAGGCAGGGGAUAGAGCUGAGAAUGAGCUGGUUUGCUGUGGUGCUCAGAGAGACCAACGGCACAGAAAGAGCAUCACUCAUUGCUGAGCAGAGGCUGCCUCCACCCUCAGCCCUGCUCUUUCUCCACCAGGAUGUGGUCUCUCCUCUCUUUUCCUCAUCACUUAGGGGCAGAUGAAGACAUCCAUCUCAAGAGUAAUGAAACCCCAUCCUCUGCACACCCCUGAGGGGCUGGCCUCUGCAGAAUGAACAUACUUCUGGAAAGUGCCUGGAGAGAACAAUUGUCUUCAACACACGUGGAGCUUCCAGUGAAUCCAUUCUGCUUCACCUCUGGGACGCUCUGGGAUGUCAAUGCCACAGCCAUGUGCAGCAGCCAAGGGAAACUGCUGUGGCAACAAACUGCACUUUUGUUCUCUGGCAGCAUCACAUGCAGCCUGAGUAAUAUUUGUGCUGUUUCCAUUUUAAGAGGCUGAGCCUGUUGGGUGUUUUCAGCAGGCAGGCAAACCACGUCUCUGCAGUAUCAUGGCUUUUGUUGGUGACAGUUUCCAUGGUGUUGGUGUUCCCUCAGUCUCAGAGUUAGCACAGUUUCAUUAUCUCCAAAGAUGGUGUUUAAAUUCCCCAUCUCAUUAAUAAAUUAGGCCCUGGUAAUUAUGGGCUUUUCUAAAUAAUCUAAUAAGGACGUUUCUGCUUUGAUGAGGGGAGUUUAACUGUAAAAGCAAGAUUUAUAAUGUGCUCCUGGGAUCAACAGGAAUGCCUUGCCUGGAGACUGAAGGUUCUCUCUGCCCCGUGCAACUUCUAGAUGGGCAAAGGAGCUAUUGGUUAAAUGCAUUAAAGUCACCAGGUCUCUGAAACACAUCAGCAUUUGCUUGUGCAGAGACAGAAGGGACAGGCCUGUGCUGGAAGAGCUCCCUGCCCAGGGUUUGUGGGAGAUAAUUCUGCUCUGAGUCUGCCUGCCAAGCCAAAAUGCAACGGUGGUAUCAUCAUAUUGACUUAUAAAUCAUGAGCUAUGUAGAGAGUAAUACAACUAGUGGUUUGUUUGUGGUUUUUUUUUUUUUUUCUUUUAGGAUUUAAGUCUUCAAAAUGCACACACUUGGGCUUUAUUCCGAGCCUUUUGGAGAAGCAAAGGAGGUGCUGAGAUUCUCCCUGUAAUCACCUGCCUCUGGGAUCUGCAGCUCCAUAAAUGAGGAAUCCAGGAGGAACCAUGGAGGAACCAUGGAGGAACCACGCUCCAGGAGGAACCAUGGAGGAACCAUGGAGGAACCAUGGAGGAGCCAUACUCUGUGGCAGCAUUUCCUGCAAGAACUCCAGACCUGUUAAAACACACCCACAUCCCUGUGGGGAAUGGCACCAGCUCCUCCUCCCAGACAAAACCCAGCAGCAUUUCUCACCUGGGGCCGUGCUGGGAGCAGCCUGCACAGAGGGGGACUCUUCACCUCUGGGGAUGUGGUGCAUUGGCACAGCAGGGAGGGACAGGACCAAAACACCUGGGAUGAACCCCCAGACAGGCAGAGCAAGACAUGCUGGCUUUACUCAGCCUUUUUUCCUCUUCUUUCCUAGUAUUUUGACUAGCACUAAAAGCACGUGGAUAAAGACCCAGUGGUCAGUUUAGGGCUUGAGCAAAUAAAGGUAGGUGACUAAAAAGUAAAUCUGUAGGAAUGACCCCUGCUGCUGCUUCCAAGUCAUGGCUGAAGGAGUUUAAAAUAAUGGAAACUAACACAAAACCACUUCUGAGAGCCAGAAUAAGCACUAACAGGCACUAAAUUGUAAAUUUCUUCAUUAACUCAUCUUUCUAGUGAAGAAAUGAGGUUUCAGAGGGAAUUCAGGAAUCAUUUCUUCCACAUGAAAGAUUUGUGCACUUAAUUUGUUGCAGUAAACUGCUGCUCUGAACGCUGAGGAGGUCUGUGUUAGGCAGAUGAUGAAACAGCAUCUGCCUUAACUACUCUUUCCCCCCUAUUUAACUAGUAAAAUAUUUCCAUUUCAGCGAUGAGAUGAAAAGCACAGUGGAGAAAAUCACAGGAGAAGAGGAAUUCCCAGUUUUCUAAGCAGGGCUUUAGAGGGAAAUAGCUGAUAUCACCAGACUCAGCACAAAAUAAAAUAAUGGAGAAUUCUUUUACAAAAGGUUUACCAUGACAAAGAGAGUAAAAGCAUUUUGGAGGAACAUGCAGCACACAAGUGGGAUUUCAAAACAGCACAAGGGACUUGUAGAUAGAGAGAUACAUCUCUUUCAUUAUCAGAACUCUUAGUCUUGUCUUUGAUCUAAAAACAAACAAUGACAAUGGAAGGAUUUACAGACUGGGGAGUCUGAAAUCUGAGUCUGAUUUCCAUAGAUUUCCAGUUAUUCAGAAGAAGGUAAUUGGAACUUACAGCCUCCUAGCUGUGCCCGACAUUGGCUCUGUGUCAUCUGUGGAUGAUCUGUAUGUCUGUAACACUCUUAGAUGGCAACAUCUACCCCACUGAAACUCCCUCCAGUGAGACACCUGCAGGAAGCAGCACAGAUGUGACAGUGUCACUGCAGGACAGUGGGAGCUCACUCAUUUCACUGCUGGUUCAGCUCUGGAAGUCCCUGACCUUUUCUUCUUUAAACAGUGGCCUGGAUACUGGGUUUUAACACAGUUUACUUCAUGUAAAAUAUGCCCUUUUUAAAAACAAAUUCUGA